ACUAAAUAUGUGUACCUGCUGUAAAUAUGGACUAAAAGUAAAUUGUGGGCUUUUAGGUGGGUUUGACUAAGUUUCAAAUUGUCCAUAAAGGACCCACGUACAUGG